GACGAAGGAUGCAAGCGUUAUCCGGAUUCAUUGGGUUUAAAGGGUGCGUAGGCGGACUGAUAAGUCAGUGGUGAAUCUCUUUGCUUAACAAAGAAACUGCCAUUGAUACUGUCGGUCUAGAGUAUAGAUGACGUUGGCGGAAUAUGACAUGUAGUGGUGAAAUACUUAGAUAUGUCAUAGAACACCGAUUGCGAAGGCAGCUAACGAAACUAUAACUGACGCUGAGGCACGAAAGUGCGGGGAUCAAACAGG
rnacentral:rRNA from 1 species